rnacentral:rRNA from 1 species
AGGGCACCACCAGGAGUGGAGCCUGCGGCUUAAUUUGACUCAACACGGGAAAACUCACCCGGCCCGGACACCGUAAGGAUUGACAGACUGAGAGCUCUUUCUUAAUUCGGUGGGUGGUGGUGCAUGGCCGUUCUUAGUUGGUGGAGCGAUUUGUCUGGUUAAUUCCGAUAACGAACGAGACUCUGGCCUAUUAAAUAGACGAUAUAUCUAUCUAGUAUAUCGCGCUUCUUAGAGGGACAAGCGGCGUCCAGCCGCAUGAAAUAGAGCAAUAACAGGUCUGUGAUGCCCUUAGAUGUCCGGGGCUGCACGCGCGCUACACCGAAAGAAUCAGCGUGCGUUUUACCUAGUUCGGAAGAACCGGGUAACCCAAGUAAAUUCUUUCGUGCUUGGGAUAGGGAAUUGCAGUUAUUUCCCUUGAACGAGGAAUUCCCAGUAAAUGCGGGUCAUAAGCUCGCGUUGAUUACGUCCCUGCCCUUUGUACACACCGCCCGUCGCUACUACCGAUUGGAUGACUUAGUG